rnacentral:rRNA from 1 species
GUGACUGCGUACCUUUUGUAUAAUGGGUCAGCGACUUAUAUUCUGUAGCAAGGUUAACCGAAUAGGGGAGCCGGAGGGAAACCGAGUCUUAAUUGGGCGUUAAGUUGCAGGGUAUAGACCCGAAACCCGGUGAUCUAGCCAUGGGCAGGUUGAAGGUUGGGUAACACUAACUGGAGGACCGAACCGACUAAUGUUGAAAAAUUAGCGGAUGACCUGUGGCUGGGGGUGAAAGGCCAAUCAAACCGGGAGAUAGCUGGUUCUCCCCGAAAGCUAUUUAGGUAGCGCCUCGUGAAUUCAUCUCCGGGGGUAGAGCACUGUUUCGGCUAGGGGGCCAUCCCGGCUUACCAACCCGAUGCAAACUGCGAAUACCGGAGAAUGUUAUCACGGGAGACACACGGCGGGUGCUAACGUCCGUCGUGAAGAGGGAAACAACCCAGACCGCCAGCUAAGGUCCCAAAGUCAUGGUUAAGUGGGAAACGAUGUGGGAAGGCCCAGACAGCCAGGAUGUUGGCUUAGAAGCAGCCAUCAUUUAAAGAAAGCGUAAUAGCUCACUGGUCGAGUCGGCCUGCGCGGAAGAUGUAACGGGGCUAAACCAUGCACCGAAGCUGCGGCAGCGACGCUGAUGCGUUGUUGGGUAGGGGAGCGUUCUGUAAGCCUGCGAAGGUGGCCUGUGAGGGUUGCUGGAGGUAUCAGAAGUGCGAAUGCUGACAUAAGUAACGAUAAAGCGGGUGAAAAGCCCGCUCGCCGGAAGACCAAGGGUUCCUGUCCAACGUUAAUCGGGGCAGGGUGAGUCGACCCCUAAGGCGAGGCCGAAAGGCGUAGUCGAUGGGAAACGGGUUAAUAUUCCCGUACUUGGUGUUACUGCGAAGGGGGGACGGAGAAGGCUAUGUUGGCCGGGCGACGGUUGUCCCGGUUUAAGCGUGUAGGUGUGUGUUCCAGGUAAAUCCGGUUCACUUUAACACUGAGGCGUGAUGACGAGGCACUACGGUGCUGAAGCAACAAAUGCCCUGCUUCCAGGAAAAGCCUCUAAGCAUCAGGUAACAUCAAAUCGUACCCCAAACCGACACAGGUGGUCAGGUAGAGAAUACCAAGGCGCUUGAGAGAACUCGGGUGAAGGAACUAGGCAAAAUGGUGCCGUAACUUCGGGAGAAGGCACGCUGACACGUAGGUGAAGUGAUUUACUCAUGGAGCUGAAGUCAGUCGAAGAUACCAGCUGGCUGCAACUGUUUAUUAAAAACACAGCACUGUGCAAACACGAAAGUGGACGUAUACGGUGUGACGCCUGCCCGGUGCCGGAAGGUUAAUUGAUGGGGUCAGCGCAAGCGAAGCUCCUGAUCGAAGCCCCGGUAAACGGCGGCCGUAACUAUAACGGUCCUAAGGUAGCGAAAUUCCUUGUCGGGUAAGUUCCGACCUGCACGAAUGGCGUAAUGAUGGCCAGGCUGUCUCCACCCGAGACUCAGUGAAAUUGAACUCGCUGUGAAGAUGCAGUGUACCCGCGGCAAGACGGAAAGACCCCGUGAACCUUUACUAUAGCUUGACACUGAACAUUGAGCCUUGAUGUGUAGGAUAGGUGGGAGGCUUUGAAGUGUGGACGCCAGUCUGCAUGGAGCCGGCCUUGAAAUACCACCCUUUAAUGUUUGAUGUUCUAACGUGGACCCGUGAUCCGGGUUGCGGACAGUGUCUGGUGGGUAGUUUGACUGGGGCGGUCUCCUCCUAAAGAGUAACGGAGGAGCACGAAGGUUGGCUAAUCCUGGUCGGACAUCAGGAGGUUAGUGCAAUGGCAUAAGCCAGCUUGACUGCGAGCGUGACGGCGCGAGCAGGUGCGAAAGCAGGUCAUAGUGAUCCGGUGGUUCUGAAUGGAAGGGCCAUCGCUCAACGGAUAAAAGGUACUCCGGGGAUAACAGGCUGAUACCGCCCAAGAGUUCAUAUCGACGGCGGUGUUUGGCACCUCGAUGUCGGCUCAUCACAUCCUGGGGCUGAAGUAGGUCCCAAGGGUAUGGCUGUUCGCCAUUUAAAGUGGUACGCGAGCUGGGUUUAGAACGUCGUGAGACAGUUCGGUCCCUAUCUGCCGUGGGCGCUGGAGAACUGAGGGGGGCUGCUCCUAGUACGAGAGGACCGG